CACAAUUACUCUACUCAACAGUAAAUGUAGAAAUUAGAAAAGUUAAAGUGUAAAACAAAUACAGGGCCCCCAACUGUGGCCUCCCAUUAACAUGGGGUGUGUGUAACCAUGAUGUUAACAUUCCAGACAGAAGCUUGGCAUUGGAUCAUUUUUGUACGAUUUCUCUGUCCCAAAUUCGACAUUCAUUUGAGAUACUCAAGAGGAAGAUAAGGAUAAUGGUAUUUCUUGUAAUUUUUAAUUUCCAGAGGUAUUGGAUUUCUUAGUGUCAACACCAAAUGCUGGCAAGAAUGGAAAGGAACAAAAUCACACAUACAUUGCUGAUGGGAAUAUACAAUGGGAAUUUGCAUCAAGAACGUUGCCAGCGGGGUGACCUUACCUCUCCGUCUGCUUCUCUCUGUCCAUCCUUUCAUUGUAUCCUCGAUCCAGGAUCUGGAAUCCCGCGUCCCAAGGGCCGAGGAGGAGGAGCAAUCCUCCCGAAGCCCAGUCACUUCCUCGCCUAAAAGAGGGGAGUGCUCCGAGAGAACGUAGAGUUGCCUUUAAUCCUAGAGCUCUGGAUGAACAACGGAAACAGCCUCUGCUCUGAAGAAGUUUGAGCCCCACCCUGUCCUUGAAGACCUUCGGAUGUCAAGCUUUCUCUGUCCACAUUGUGACUGAUGCAAUGACCCAAGUUCCCCACCAUAUUGCAGUAGAGGAAUGGGAGAGGGUUCCACCCACUGCACAGCAUCCUCUUCCCCCCUACAGAGUAAGACCUGCCCCACGCAUCUCCUCACCUCCAUGUAGUAUUUUUCACCAGUGACGAGUGAUCAAAAUAAAAUCUUUCUGCCUUUUGUUCCCUUC